rnacentral:lncRNA from 1 species
AUAUGUGAAUUAUAUUUCAGUAAAGUUGGGAAGAGAGAGAAGCAGCUGAAGGCCCAAACUAAGCAACGAGUUUUAUUUCCUCUUCCCUUGGAAGAUGUGGACUUACUCCCUUGGCCUAUUCAGAAUUCUGUGGGAGUCUUCGAACUUGGGAUGAUGUCAGCUGACUUCCCAUCUAAGGCUGUUCCAUGGGCCCAAAAUCUUUCAAUACGUACAAACUGGAAUUGGAAUUGGAAAAACUUUUGGCCAAUUUGUAGCAGGUUUUCCAGGGAAGUAUUUUUCACUGACACUGUGGAAACCUAAAUAAGCUUCUCCCUCAGGAUCAUCGUAAGAGUCUGGAAAUAUCAAUCAGCCCGAAACACAGUCCAAGAUUUCACGUUUUUUGGUUUUUACAAACUGUCAGUUUUGAUUUUUAUUGAGCAAUAAGAAGUUUAGUUGUUUAUUGGAACAAACAAGGCUAGUGACCGUUCUUUCCAAGUGCUGGAUCUUUCCAUUCACUUGAACUAAACGAAGUAUUUCUGGUAUGCUCAGAAGAGGCAAGAAUGUAGAACCGAUGAGCUUGCAUUAGAAAGGAUUUGUGAUGCCUCCUGCAGGUCAUUCCACCCCCCCACCCCCCGUGAUCAGCCCAUUUGCAUUCUGUGUUCUGUUUAAAUCUUUGCAAAUACAAAUUGGAUACAAAUUCCAAUUCCCUCCUGGUAAAACUGGAAUUUACUUUUAAAAAAUGAGGAAACUAGGAAAUUCCGUGACUACCUCUUUGUUUUAAAGCAAACAAACUGUAGCAUCACGUCUAUGAGCAAAGAACUUACAGAGAGUGAGCCUGGAUAUUUCCACCCUGACGAGGUAAGGGUACAGGCUGCAGGGGUGUGGGGGGAAGGAAGGAGCCCUGUGGUGGUGUGGCCUGUCCGUAGUCCAUAGGAAUAAAGGAUCAGAUACUGGCA